AGAAAAGCAGGGGAUCGUCAAGACCUUGCGUUAAUGGAGCGGCCGAUAUCUGAUUAGCUAGUUGGUGGGGUAAAGGCCCACCAAGGCUUCGAUCAGUAGCUGGUCUGAGAGGACGACCAGCCACACUGGAACUGAGACACGGUCCAGACUCCUACGGGAGGCAGCAGUGGGGAAUUUUGGACAAUGGGCGCAAGCCUGAUCCAGCCAUUCCGCGUGAGUGAAGAAGGCCUUCGGGUUGUAAAGCUCUUUCGCAAGGGAAGAAAACUUACCUUCUAAUAAAGGGUGAGGCUGACGGUACCUUGAUAAGAAGCACCGGCUAACUACGUGCCAGCAGCCGCGGUAAUACGUAGGGUGCGAGCGUUAAUCGGAAUUACUGGGCGUAAAGCGUGCGCAGGCGGUUUUGUAAGUCAGAUGUGAAAGCCCCGGGCUCAACCUGGGAACUGCGUUUGAAACUACAAGGCU
rnacentral:rRNA from 1 species